rnacentral:rRNA from 1 species
AUUGAACGCUGGCGGCAGGCCUAACACAUGCAAGUCGAACGGUAACAGGAAACAGCUUGCUGUUUCGCUGACGAGUGGCGGACGGGUGAGUAAUGUCUGGGAAACUGCCUGAUGGAGGGGGAUAACUACUGGAAACGGUAGCUAAUACCGCAUAACGUCGCAAGACCAAAGAGGGGGACCUUCGGGCCUCUUGCCAUCGGAUGUGCCCAGAUGGGAUUAGCUAGUAGGUGGGGUAACGGCUCACCUAGGCGACGAUCCCUAGCUGGUCUGAGAGGAUGACCAGCCACACUGGAACUGAGACACGGUCCAGACUCCUACGGGAGGCAGCAGUGGGGAAUAUUGCACAAUGGGCGCAAGCCUGAUGCAGCCAUGCCGCGUGUAUGAAGAAGGCCUUCGGGUUGUAAAGUACUUUCAGCGGGGAGGAAGGGAGUAAAGUUAAUACCUUUGCUCAUUGACGUUACCCGCGGAAGAAGCACCGGCUAACUCCGUG